rnacentral:rRNA from 1 species
UACAGAGGUCUCAAGCGUUGUUCGGAUUUAUUGGGCGUAAAGCGCUCGCAGGUGGUUCGCUGCGUCGUGCGUGAAAGACCCCGGCUCAACUGGGGGAUGUCGUGCGAUACGGGCGAACUGGAGGCCAGUAGGGGGAUGCGGAAUUCCGGGUGUAGUGGUGGAAUGCGUAGAGAUCCGGAGGAACACCAGCGGCGAAGGCGGCAUCCUGGACUGGUCCUGACACUCAUGAGCGAAAGCGUGGGGAGCGAUCCGG